AGGACGAACGCUGGCGGCGUGCCUAAUGCAUGCAAGUCGAGCGACGAAUAGGUGAGGGUAACCAAGCCCUAUUACGGAGCGGCGAACGGGUGAGUAACACGUGAGCAACCUGCCCCGAAGGCCGGGAUAGCCCAGGGAAACUUGGAUUAAUACCGGAUAUCCUCUUUUGAUCGCAUGGUCUUGGAGGAAAUGCUUUUUACGCUUCGGGAUGGGCUCGCGGCCUAUCAGCUUGUGUGGGUAACGGCCUACCAAGGCGUCGACGGGUAGCUGGUCUGAGAGGACGAUCAGCCACACUGGGACUGAGACACGGCCAGACUCCGUACGGGAGCAGCAGCAGGGAAUUUGCGCAAUGGGACGAAAGCCUGACGCACGCAACGCCGCGGUGGGGGAUAGGA
rnacentral:rRNA from 1 species